CAAAACGAAAGGCAGUGGGCCGAGAAGCACCCGUGACACCUGAUCCCCACAAUUCUCUCAUUCACGCGUCCAAAAUUCGUGAUGCCAAAUCCCAUACUUAUCACUUUUAUAAGUCCCCCCUAAUAAUUUCUGCAAACACAAUCGCCAUUGUUUACGACUAGUAAAGACCCUAAGCCUAACCUAACCUAACCUGCAGACUGCUCGCAAAAUCAUUAGGUAGCAAUGGGUACAGUGAAGUUGGUUGUUGUGAUGAUUAUAAUGGUGGGUUUAACGGUGGAAGGGUCAAGAGCAAUAAGCUUGUGUGACAUGAACGAUGAGGGUCUGGAAGCCUGCAAGCCAUCAGUGACCCAGCCGGAUCCUGUUGACCCAACGCCUCAAUGCUGCGAGGCUCUUAAAGGAGCUAACCUCACAUGCUUGUGUUCUUAUAAGAAUUCAAUGUGGCUGCCUUCUCUUGGGAUCGAUCCAACACUCGCCAUGGGUUUACCAGCAAAGUGCAGUCUCGAUAUGCCUUCUGAUUGUUGAUUAAGUGUACAUGAUGUUUCAGGUCUUUUCGGAGGAACAUGAACCAUGAAGCGGCUUCCAUGUUCGUCAGCCUUUCACAAGUUGUUUUUAUUUAUUUGUAUGUGGAAAACUAAGUUUGCAAAUCAUCUAAAUAUAUGUGUAUUAAUUACUAUUUGGUUAUCUAAAUUUGUAUGAAAAAAGUGACUGGAAUUGGCCUUCUAAA